rnacentral:rRNA from 1 species
GUGGGGAAUAUUGCACAAUGGGCGCAAGCCUGAUGCAGCCAUGCCGCGUGUGUGAAGAAGGCCUUCGGGUUGUAAAGCACUUUCAGCGGGGAGGAAGGCGAUAAGGUUAAUAACCUUGUCGAUUGACGUUACCCGCAGAAGAAGCACCGGCUAACUCCGUGCCAGCAGCCGCGGUAAUACGGAGGGUGCAAGCGUUAAUCGGAAUUACUGGGCGUAAAGCGCACGCAGGCGGUCUGUCAAGUCGGAUGUGAAAUCCCCGGGCUCAACCUGGGAACUGCAUUCGAAACUGGCAGGCUAGAGUCUUGUAGAGGGGGGUAGAAUUCCAGGUGUAGCGGUGAAAUGCGUAGAGAUCUGGAGGAAUACCGGUGGCGAAGGCGGCCCCCUGGACAAAGACUGACGCUCAGGUGCGAAAGCGUGGGGAGCAAACAGGAUUAGAUACCCUUGUAGUCC